GACGAACGCUGGCGGCGUGCUUAACACAUGCAAGUCGAACGGGAUUUAGUAGACAGAAGCCUCGGCUAAAGAUUACUAAUGAGAGUGGCGAACGGGUGAGUAACGCGUGAGCAACCUGCCUAUGACAGUGGGAUAGCCUCGGGAAACCGGGAUUAAUACCGCAUAAAAUCGUAGAAACACAUGUUUUAACGGUCAAAGAUUUAUCGGUCAUAGAUGGGCUCGCGUCUGAUUAGCUAGUUGGUGAGAUAACAGCCCACCAAGGCGACGAUCAGUAGCCGGUCUGAGAGGAUGAACGGCCACAGUGGAACUGAGACACGGUCCAAACUCCUACGGGAGGCAGCAGUGGGGAAUAUUGCACAAUGGGGGAAACCCUGAUGCAGCGACGCCGCGUGAACGAAGAAGGUAUUCGUAUCGUAAAGUUCUGUCCUAUGGGAAGAUAAUGACAGUACCAUAGAAGAAAGCUCCGGCUAAAUACGUG
rnacentral:rRNA from 1 species